rnacentral:tmRNA from 1 species
GGGGAUGUAAUGGCUUCGACGGCGCGGGGCUUGCGAAGGAAAGCAAGUGGUAGGGUCGGCUACCUAAAAACGCAAAAGGCUUUAAUUGCCAACAAAAAGGAAAAUGCCAAAGUGGUGAAGUUCGCAGCUCCGGCGGCGGCUCCCGCAAUGGCACUCGCGGCGUAAGGUACGCUGCAAGUCCGCACCCGCUACCUAUCGGCGGGAGCGCGGGCUUAAAGUAACGGUAGGCAACUCGAUGCGGCGGCGGUCGAUCCGCACCGAGUAACAAGACCUUGCGGACGUAAACCUUUGUGUAUUGCGGUUUCCGUUCGGACAAUGAGCAAUAAACUAAACUUGUAGAUGUCCCCGCAUAUCCGUGUCGGAAAGGGGUUCGACCCCCCUCAUCUCCACCA